GAUGAACGCUGGCGGCGUGCCUAAUACAUGCAAGUCGAGCGAACAGACGAGGAGCUUGCUCCUCUGACGUUAGCGGCGGACGGGUGAGUAACACGUGGAUAACCUGCCUAUAAGACUGGGAUAACUUCGGGAAACCGGAGCUAAUACCGGAUAAUAUAUUGAACCGCAUGGUUCAAUAGUGAAAGACGGUUUUGCUGUCACUUAUAGAUGGAUCCGCGCCGCAUUAGCUAGUUGGUAAGGUAACGGCUUACCAAGGCGACGAUGCGUAGCCGACCUGAGAGGGUGAUCGGCCACACUGGAACUGAGACACGGUCAAGACUCCUACGGGAGGCAGCAGUAGGGAAUCGUCCGCAAUGGGCGAAAGCCUGACGGAGCAACGCCGCGUGAGUGAUGAAGGUCUUCGGAUCGUAAAACUCUGUUAUUAGGGAAGAACAAAUGUGUAAGUAACUAUGCACGUCUUGACGGUACCUAAUCAGAAAGCCACGGCUAACUACGUG
rnacentral:rRNA from 1 species